AGUGAACGCUGGCGGUAGGCCUAACACAUGCAAGUCGAACGGCAGCACAGUAAGAGCUUGCUCUUACGGGUGGCGAGUGGCGGACGGGUGAGGAAUACAUCGGAAUCUACUUUUUCGUGGGGGAUAACGUAGGGAAACUUACGCUAAUACCGCAUACGACCUACGGGUGAAAGCAGGGGAUCUUCGGACCUUGCGCGAUUGAAUGAGCCGAUGUCGGAUUAGCUAGUUGGCGGGGUAAAGGCCCACCAAGGCGACGAUCCGUAGCUGGUCUGAGAGAAUGAUCGGCCACACUGGAACUGAGACACGGUCCAGACUACUACGGGAGGCAGCAGUGGGGAAUAUUGGACAAUGGGCGCAAGCCUGAUACAGCCAUACCGCGUGGGUGACGAAGGCCUUCGGGUUGUAAAGCCCUUUUGUUGGGAAAGAAAAGCAGCAGGUUAAUACCCCGCUGUUCUGACGGUACCCAAAGAAUAAGCACCGGCUAACUUCGUG
rnacentral:rRNA from 1 species